rnacentral:tRNA from 1 species
GUGAUAUUAGUUUAAUUUAAAAUAGUGGUUUGUCUAGCCGUUGAUAACUUUAUAUUGGUUAUAUCACU